rnacentral:rRNA from 1 species
GGUGACCUCCUGGGAAGUCCUCGUGUUGCACCCCCU